rnacentral:misc_RNA from 1 species
GAUGAAGAACGUAGCGAAAUGCGAUAAGUAAUGUGUAUUGCAGAAUUCAGUGAAUCAUCGAAUCUUUGAACGCACAUUGCGCCCGCCAGUAUUCUGGCGGGCAUGCCUGUUCGAGCGUCAUUUCAACCAUCAAGCCCCCCGGCUUGUGUUGGGGACCUGCGGCUGCCGCAGGCCCUGAAAAGCAGUGGCGGGCUCGCUGUCACACCGAGCGUAGUAGAUCUCAUCUCGCUCAGGGCGUGCUGCGGGUUCCGGCCGUUAAACCACCUUCAUAACCCAAGGUUGACCUCGGAUCAGGUAGGAAGACCCGCUGAACUUAAGCAUAUCAAUAAGCGGAGGA